rnacentral:rRNA from 1 species
UGGGGAAUAUUGCACAAUGGGGGAAACCCUGAUGCAGCGACGCCGUGUGAACGAAGAAGGUAUUCGUAUCGUAAAGUUCUGUCCUAUGGGAAGAUAAUGACAGUACCAUAGAAGAAAGCUCCGGCUAAAUACGUGCCAGCAGCCGCGGUAAUACGUAUGGAGCGAGCGUUGUCCGGAAUUAUUGGGCGUAAAGGGUACGCAGGCGGUUUAAUAAGUCGAAUGUUAAAGAUCGGGGCUCAACCCCGCAAAGCAUUGGAAACUGAUAAACUUGAGUAGUGGAGAGGAAAGUGGAAUUCCUAGUGUAGUGGUGAAAUACGUAGAUAUUAGGAGGAAUACCAGUAGCGAAGGCGACUUUCUGGACACAAACUGACGCUGAGGUACGAAAGCGUGGGGAGCAAACAGG